UUAAUGCUAAUUGUGAUAGGGGUUGUGAAUUUUGACCAGCUCCUACAUGUUAGCAUUAGCU
rnacentral:pre_miRNA from 1 species